UCCGCUGGCGGAGGCUCUGGCGGUGGCGGCGCGCGAGCGCGAGCGAUCCCGACCCCACAUUCCUGGGAGCGCGGAAUAUCUUGGGAUCUUCUCUGAUCUGCCAGCAGCCAAGGUGUUCACUGGAAAUUCAAGGAAAACAGGUCAUUUCUCUUGCCCUUUAACUGUGGGUUGGGGAGGGAGGUAGAAUGGGAUGUUGACACUUUCUAGAUGUCUCUCUGUCCUAGCUCUUGACUUUGAAUUGAUAAGCUCCUUAAAUUGGGCUUUGGGGGUCAGGAGAGCCUCCCCCGCUUCCCUCUGUUUCUGAAUGGUGGCCAGCAGUAUUCUUAAUUUCUUUCUUGACCUCCCUGAUUGUAGGGAGGAAGCCUAGGGAGGCAGGAGAGGCCUGUAACUUCCUGCUUCCCGUCUCCUCCCAGCAGGCUUGGGAGCCAGGGUGGAGGACCGCCCCACAGCCAGCCAGGAAAGAAUCUGUGGGAAUCGGGCCAAUCCCACCUGUGUCUGUUCCUCUGUAUUGGCUGCCACAGGAAAGCCCCUGGCCCUCUGGGUGGGCACCCUCUGCCAGAACCCUCAUCUCUGCUCCUGCAGAUUCCCGGGUCUUGCUGGCAGCUUCUUUGUUCCCAGAACCUGUGCUUAAGGCCCCUGUGGGGCUGGUGCUGGGCUGGAGCUACCAGUGUGGAGGAUGCUGAUUCAAAUUCUGGGGUGCUGCUUAUAGAUCUGGGUCUUUUUAUAUUUUAAUUGAUGUGUUUUAUCCUGUGGCUUAUUCCUGCUGGGUAAUUUGUAAAUCUCUUAACUUCCAAGAACCCAGCUGUGUGGUGCUGGGGGUGGUGUGGUAAGAAGGAUGGUGCCGCUGGCUGGUGGUAGCUUUUCUUGCCAAAAGGCUCCCAUCUCUCUGAGUCCCAGCAGAGAUGAUUGGGAGUUCCAGGCAUGGCCUUGGGCCUCUUAUUGGCCUUUUGUGCUUUGCACAUUAUACUCAGGGUGCCAGUAUUCAUAUCUGUCAUUGUCAUCAUUGGCCACAGUUUCAGACUCUUAACAUAUGUCCACAACUAAUUUAAUUAAAUUCGUAUUAAAUCUUAAUUUAAAUCUCACUUAACUUUCAUGAGAGUCCUGUGAGGUAGCUGUCAUUUCGCCCUGUUUCACAGUGGCAGCAGCUAAGGUGGAGACAAAGACUUGCCUAAGGACACAGCUUUAGUGCCAGGGGAGCAGCAGCUCAAGUUCAGGCGGUCUGACUCCUGCCGUACCUGCCCUUCCCACCAGACCUGUGGCCAUUGCCAUCUGGCCUGGGAACCUGCUCCAUGUCCCUCCUUGAGCCUGCUACAGCCAGGAUGUGGGGCUCCCAUUUUAAGUCUUCCCCCCUCCCACCGGGGCCUGGGGAGGGUGUCUGCUUUCAGUCUCGACACCUUGGGAUUUGGGGCACUGCCUACUGGAGGACUGGCCAUGCAGCCAAGCAGGAGGCCACGCCGAGGGAAACCAGUCUGCUAGAAAUCAGGUGGCAGGGAUGGAAGGACUUGAGGACAAGUGGGCGAGGGUUCUCGCACGCAGCAUGCCCUGGCUGCUCAUGGCACGUUCUGCCCUGUCACAGAGAUUCCAUGGGGCCUGCCCUGGGGGGACCUGCCAAGCAGAAGGUGCUGGGGAGCUCCCAGGAGGCUGCACUGCAUGGCCUUGGGGAGACGGAUGGCCUCUGAUAUCACCAGUCCUUUCUAGACAGACGACUGUCCUCCUCCUGUGAAUCUGGAUUGAAGGCAGAGUGAGGAGACUUGACAGACAGGACGCUUGUCCUUGCCCAAGGCUUUGGGCUUCGAAGUCUUGGUUGGACAUUGCUUGUCAUGUGGGUUGGCCUCUGGAAUGAUGACGUGGGUGGAGGUCCUCAUCCCACCUCUACCUGGCUAGGUGACCUUUGGUGAACUGGUUGCUUUUUUUAGGCUGCUCUCCUCUCCUCCAUUUGCCCAGGUGCCUUCUCGUUCUGGUGAAGGUGGUUUCUGGCUGGAUGAGGGCCUGCCUGGGUUUUGGCUUCCAGUCCGGGGCCUCCCAAACCCCCCUUCCGCUCCGCAGUGGUCACUCUGGCUCUGCCUCAGGUAGAUGGAGGAGGAAGGAAUGAAGUUAAUGAGGAAACAAGAGCUCUGAGUCCUGAUGGAAGCCGGCCUGGGGGCGAAGGCUGUUCACAGAGAUGGUCGCCUGACUGGUUGGUGGGGGGCUUGCUGCCCGACUUUCCUUUGAUCUGCCCCCGGCCUCGGCCCCGGCCCAUGCAUUUAGGACUGAGAGGCUCCCUCACUGGACUCCAGCCCAACAAGUUAACAAUUUCAACCUCAGUUAGAGCCCCUGCCUAGUGGAGGGUGGUCCUCCUCUCACACCAGAAGCACAGCCCACACUCAGCCUGAACUGCUGGGCUCCUGAGAACUUGUGGCCAGGAGGAGUGCCUAUGUGGGCUCGGCAGCCACGUGUAGAUGAUUUUUGAUUAUCUGUUGUUUCAUACUAUCUGUGCUUUUGACUUUACCACACCCCUUCCCCCUCUGCCUCCCCCCCGACACACUGCCUGGAAAUUAAUUGCACUUUGAAUACUUGCUUACUUUCCCAGAGUCUCGUGACCAUUUCUACAGCCAAAGUCAGCAUUUAUUAAAACAUCUGGGAGUUCCCGUCGUGGCUUAGUGGAAACGAAUCUGACUAGCAUCCAUGAGGAUGCAGGUUCGAUCCCUGGCCUCACUCAGUGGGUUAAGGAUCUGGCAUUGCCGUGAGCUGUGGUAUAGGUCGCAGACGAGGCUCGGAUCUGGUGUAGACUGGUAGCUAUAACUCCAGUUCGGCCCCUAGCCUGGGAACUUCCAUAUGCCACACCUGUAGC
rnacentral:lncRNA from 1 species